UACAGAGGGUGCAAGCGUUAAUCGGAAUUACUGGGCGUAAAGGGCGCGUAGGCGGUUAAUUAAGUUGGAUGUGAAAUCCCUGGGCUUAACCUAGGAACUGCAACCAAAACUGAUUAGCUAGAGUGUAGUAGAGGGUAGUGGAAUUUCCGGUGUAGCGGUGAAAUGCGUAGAUAUCGGAAGGAACACCAGUGGCGAAGGCGGCUACCUGGACUAACACUGACGCUGAGGCGCGAAAGCGUGGGGAUCAAACAGG
rnacentral:rRNA from 1 species